GAUGAACGCUGGCGGCGUGCUUAACACAUGCAAGUCGAACGGUGAAGGCGGAGCUUGCUCUGCUGGAUCAGUGGCGAACGGGUGAGUAACACGUGAGCAAUCUGCCCCUGACUCUGGGAUAAGCGCUGGAAACGGCGUCUAAUACUGGAUACGAGCUGCGAAGGCAUCUUCAGCAGCUGGAAAGAAUUUCGGUCAGGGAUGAGCUCGCGGCCUAUCAGCUUGUUGGUGAGGUAAUGGCUCACCAAGGCGUCGACGGGUAGCCGGCCUGAGAGGGUGACCGGCCACACUGGGACUGAGACAUGGCCCAGACUCCUACGGGAGGCAGCAGUGGGGAAUAUUGCACAAUGGGCGAAAGCCUGAUGCAGCAACGCCGCGUGAGGGACGACGGCCUUCGGGUUGUAAACCUCUUUUAGCAGGGAAGAAGCGAAAGUGACGGUACCUGCAGAAAAAGCGCCGGCUAACUACGUG
rnacentral:rRNA from 1 species